rnacentral:lncRNA from 1 species
AUGACACUUCUGAGCUUCCUGAAGCGCACAGGCAGAGAUCAGCCUGUGAAAGCAUCGUGUCUUUUAGGAAACCUUACCAUCACUAAGACCUAAGCCAUGAAGAUUCUUUACCACCUCUUUGUUAUCUUCUUAGUGUUUCAGNCUAUUAAAGAUGACNGACCUGCAGAAGCUCUGCUACUUACUUGUGCCUCUAUGGGUGGAUUCUGCAUCCUACAACCCAGGGAGAACUGCCCCUCAGUNGGGGGACUGGAAAAGGAACUGGCCACUGGAGUACGGUCAACAGGAGUUUGCCAUGCUGGAAGGGGAUACUGCUUGCCACGCAGAUUUGCCUGCUCCUUAGGUUUUGUGUUCAAGGAAACAUACAACUGCCCCAACCCAGCAGCAACAAAAUGCUGUCUUGGCAGAAAAAUUGGAUAGGAAGCGUCUGCAGAGCCUGAAAGGAAUGUUCUUCAAUCAAGAAAAAUAACUUGCUUCAUUCUAUCCAAUAAAGUCACCUUUGAAUUGCA